rnacentral:lncRNA from 1 species
AGGACGGUAGCGUCUUCGCUUCCCCGGGAGGACGCUUCUGUUGGCGCACACUUCCUGUUGUGGUUAUCAUGGAGACUUCUGGAGCCGUCAGGUCGGACUCGGUGACCUGGGCUACCUGUAAUUUCGGCGCCGGGUUGACUUUUCUUAUGACGCCUACGCCUCUUCUGAAGGGAGUUGUAGCGUCCUGGAGUCCACAUGUUUAAAAGGAUGCAGAUCCCUAUUGAAUUUUAACUCGCCACUCAGUGUGCCUCUAUGAAUUUAAGUGAGGUAUAACAUGCGACCCAUUUGAUAUAAUAAUAAUAAUAAUGAUGAUGAUGAUGAUGAUGCAA